rnacentral:rRNA from 1 species
UACGAAGGGGGCUAGCGUUGCUCGGAAUUACUGGGCGUAAAGCGCACGUAGGCGGAUUGUUAAGUCGGUGGUGAAAUCCUGGAGCUCAACUCCAGAACUGCCUUCGAUACUGAGAGUCUCGAGUCCGAGAGAGGUGAGUGGAACUGCGAGUGUAGAGGUGAAAUUCGUAGAUAUUCGCAAGAACACCAGUGGCGAAGGCGGCUCACUGGCUCGGUACUGACGCUGAGGUGCGAAAGCGUGGGGAGCAAACAGG